AACAAGCAUGGCAUCCUGGAUGCAAGGCCACAGGUUUAGGGCUUCUUAAUUUUCUGAUUAAGGGAUGAGUGAUCCCAGAACCUAGAAUGGCAUUGAGAUUGGUGUCUCUGACUGUUUGAAAUAAAGGGGAUGUGAGGGACAGAAGGGAAGCCAGGGACCAGAUUAGCAAACAUGUCACUGCAUCAGUUCAGUAGAAGGACAGUCAUACCAACCCCCAUACAAGUAGAUUUAGUCACCGAAGUGCCAACUACCCAUCAUCAGGUGGAGAUGUUGGAGAAGUAACAUGAUUACAAUCCAUGAUAAGAUCACAGUACAUAGAGGAUAUUAAAGGAGCAGAAUCAAAGGUGAAUAGACUAGGAGUCAGAGAAGACAAUCUCUAAGUGGAAACACAAGUUAAGUCUUAAAGAACAAAGCAAUAGACAUUAAAAAGGAGAGGUAAUAGUUUAUCAAGCAGCAGAAACAGCAUGUUGUAAGAGACAAAUACAUGGGAACCAAAACCCAGCUUAAUUUUCUAACAUGGUUUUUUUUCCCCCCAGUGGAGUUUUGUUUUUUCCCUAGCAUGAAGACCUAGAUUUUUAAACCUGUUCUGGACUCUCACACUGACCAGAGUACCUGUGCCAUCUGCUUGGCUAACACUGAGCCAGAUUUCACCUGCAUCAAUACUGAAAGCCACGAGACAUUUUGGGCACAUUUUGCAUGGAAGUGAUGAGCACUGUGCUCUGACGACAGCAGCAUUUCUCCUUGUACACAAAGGCAGUACAAGCCAGUGAGCAGAGAGAGAAAAGCCGCAUACAUGCAAAGCUUCACAGAUGAGAAAUGGCAGACGUGUUCUGGAGCUUUCCGUUUCCCGUUCCUUUUUGAAGCCUGGUCACCCUCCUGUCUUUGCUUCUAUGAGGAUGGAUGCAUAACUAAUAGUUCCUACCGAGUGUGUGGGUGCAUGAGGGCAUGUAAGCACAUGUGCACCAGACACUGUGCUGGGUGUUUCAGAUGCCUCAGCUUGAUUCCUUCAAACAAGUCCAAGUGGUAGGUUCUGUUAUUAUCUCCAUAGCAUAGUUGAGGAAACAAAAGUAUCUUGUCCAAGGUCACAAAGCUAGUAUGCAGGAAAGCCAGAAAUGGAAUCUGGCUUGGCUCCUUCAGACCCUGGAGCCCUGACUGAUACUGUCUCUGGGAUGGACCACAGGAAAAGCCAUCUGAAGGAGGAAAAUAAAAAGUGAGCCCUUUUGCUAGAGCA
rnacentral:lncRNA from 1 species